GACGAACGCUGGCGGCGUGCUUAACACAUGCAAGUCGAACGAACCACAGUCCUUCGGUCUGUGGUGAGUGGCGAACGGGUGAGUAACACGUGAGCAACCUGCCCUUGACACUGGAAUAACAGCUGGAAACAGCUGCUAAUACCGGAUACGACCUUCGAUGGCAUCAUCUGGAGGUGGAAAGUUCUGGCGGUCAAGGAUGGGCUCGCGGCCUAUCAGCUUGUUGGUGAGGUAACGGCUCACCAAGGCUUCGACGGGUAGCCGGCCUGAGAGGGCGACCGGCCACACUGGGACUGAGAUACGGCCCAGACUCCUACGGGAGGCAGCAGUGGGGAAUAUUGCACAAUGGGCGAAAGCCUGAUGCAGCAACGCCGCGUGCGGGAUGACGGCCUUCGGGUUGUAAACCGCUUUCAGUUCCGACGAAGGUAACCUGACGGUAGGAACAGAAGAAGGACCGGCCAACUACGUGCCAGCAGCCGCCGUAAAA
rnacentral:rRNA from 1 species